rnacentral:rRNA from 1 species
UACGGAGGGUGCAAGCGUUGUCCGGAUUUAUUGGGUUUAAAGGGUGCGUAGGCGGCCCGUUAAGUCAGUGGUGAAAGCCUCCAGCUCAACUGGAGAACUGCCAUUGAUACUGACGGGCUUGAGUACAGACGAGGUUGGCGGAAUUGAUAGUGUAGCGGUGAAAUGCAUAGAUACUAUCAAGAACUCCGAUUGCGUAGGCAGCUAACUAGGCUGUAACUGACGCUGAGGCACGAAAGCGUGGGGAGCGAACAGG